rnacentral:tRNA from 1 species
UGGCUGAGUGGUAGAGCUCUUGCCUUGCAUGCAUGAGGCCCUGGGUUCAAUUCCCCAG